GACGAACGCUGGCGGCGUGCUUAACACAUGCAAGUCGAACGAAGUGGCGAACGGGUGAGUAACGCGUAAUCAACCUGCCCUUCAGAGGGGGACAACAGUUGGAAACGACUGCUAAUACCGCAUACUGAAGGAGGGGAUUGCGUCUGAUUAGCUAGUUGGAGGGGUAACGGCCCACCAAGGCGAUGAUCAGUAGCCGGUCUGAGAGGAUGAACGGCCACAUUGGGACUGAGACACGGCCCAGACUCCUACGGGAGGCAGCAGUGAGGAAUAUUGGUCAAUGGGCGCGAGCCUGAACCAGCCAAGUAGCGUGCAGGAUGACGGCCUAUGGGUUGUAAACUGCUUUUGUAUGGGGAUAGGUACCAUACGAAUAAGGACCGGCUAAUUCCGUGCCAGCAGCCGCGGUAAUAC
rnacentral:rRNA from 1 species